UUUGUUCAAACAAGCAGUGAGAUGACUUCACUGUGCCUCUCUACUUCCAUUGGCUGUUGCUGUGUGCUUCCCAGCAUCCCUUGCUCAAGUCGGGGG